rnacentral:rRNA from 1 species
ACUGUCAGCUUUGGCUAAACUUACACAUGCAAGUCUCCGCCCCCCUGUGAGAAUGCCCACAGUUUUCUGCCCGAAAACAAGGAGCCGGUAUCAGGCACACUCCCCGCAGCCCAUGACACCUUGCUUAGCCACACCCUCAAGGGAACUCAGCAGUGAUAGACAUUAAGCCAUAAGUGAAAACUUGACUUAGUUAAAGCCAAGAGGGCCGGUAAAACUCGUGCCAGCCACCGCGGUUAUACGAGAGGCUCAAGUUGACAGACAUCGGCGUAAAGAGUGGUUAGGAAGUUUUUGAAACUAAAGCCGAACGCCCUCAGAACUGUUAUACGUGCCCGAGGGUAAGAAGCCCCACUACGAAAGUGGCUUUAUAUCUCCGACUCCACGAAAGCUGCGAAACAAACUGGGAUUAGAUACCCCACUAUGCCCAGCCCUAAACUUUGAUAGCCCACUACACCCGCUAUCCGCCCGGGUACUACGAGCACUAGCUUAAAACCCAAAGGACUUGGCGGUGCUUUAGAUCCAC